GUUUAUAUAGUAUAAUAAUUAUAUUUGAUUUCCAAUCAAAUGAUCUAAUAAAAAUUAGUUUAAACA
rnacentral:tRNA from 1 species